GCGUCGGUGGUUCACUGGUAGAAUACUCGCCUGCCACGCGGGUGACCCGGGUUCGAAUCCCGGCCGACGCA
rnacentral:tRNA from 1 species